rnacentral:misc_RNA from 1 species
CUCCACCAUUUUAGGUCAUCAUCAUUGUUAGACGAACAGUGUUUGUAGAAGGUUUUCUGACCUUUUGCGCGUUCUAUUGAAAUUGUGAAGAGAAGAUAUAUUCAGACAUGUUGCUUUUGAAAAGUUUGUUCUGAAAGGCAAGAUUUUUCUAAAGAGAAAUAGCAAGAGAUAGGCUUGUCGUUAGGUCAACAGAUCUAAAAGACUGAAAAAAGAAACAAAACUGAAAAAGGGACUUGUGUUGCAAGGGAAUUCUCAAAACC